GGGAGGUCACAAGACGUUGCUGAGUAGAGUGCACUGUGUACCUGGGACGGUUGGCGUGCUACGCGAAGUUCUCUGAGUUUAGACGCUAUACGGGUAUGGGAGACAGAGCGUUAAGACAUUCGGAGAGAAAUCUCAGAAAGGAGGCGAAUUGGGAAGCACGACAUGGCAUGUAUGGUGCCGCUGCUGUACAUCAAGCUCAAGCACAAGCAGUAAGA